rnacentral:rRNA from 1 species
CCUACGGGUGGCAGCAGUGGGGAAUAUUGGGCAAUGGGCGCAAGCCUGAUCCAGCUAUGCCGCGUGAAUGAAGAAGGCCUUCGGGUUGUAAAGCUCUUUCGGUUGGGAAGAAGUUUAUCUGUUUAAUAGAUUGAUAGAUUGACGUUACCGACAGAAGAAGCACCGGCUAACUACGUGCCAGCAGCCGCGGUAAUACGUAGGGUGCGAGCGUUAGUCGGAAUUACUGGGCGGAAAGGGUGCGCAGGCGGCGACAGAAGUCAGAUGUGAAAUCCCCGGGCUUAACCUGGGAACUGCGUUUGAUACUAGGUGGCUAGAGUACAGCAGAGGGGGGUGGAAUUCCAUGUGUAGCAGUGAAAUGCGUAGAUAUAUGGAAGAACACCGAUGGCGAAGGCAGCCCCCUGGGUUGAUACUGACGCUCAUGCACGAAAGCGUGGGGAGCAAACAGGAUUAGAUACCCGAGUAGUC